rnacentral:tRNA from 1 species
GCAGAGGUGACGGAGCGGUCAAACGUACCAGACUGUAAAUCUGGCGGCGAGAGUCUACGGGGGUUCGAAUCCCUCCCUCUGCA